rnacentral:lncRNA from 1 species
CGAACUGCAACUUUGAUCCUCACUUCAAAUUCCAUACUACUCACUGCACCCAACAUGCCAAUAUAUGAUGGAACAUGAUUCUUAUCAAAACUCCGGAACCGCUAAUAGGUUAACAGUUCAUCAUAUAAAAGCUUUUCACUGAACUCACCUAAGGAGAAAGAUAGCAACACACAUGCAAAUUCUUAUAACCGUAGAAUAUGCAAACAUCUA